UAGGGAAUCUUCCGCAAUGGGCGAAAGCCUGCCGGAGCAACGCCGCGUGAGUGAUGAAGGUCUUCGGAUCGUAAAACUCUGUUAUUAGGGAAGAACAAAUGUGUAAGUAACUAUGCACGUCUUGACGGUACCUAAUCAGAAAGCCACGGCUAACUACGUGCCAGCAGCCGCGGUAAUACGUAGGUGGCAAGCGUUAUCCGGAAUUAUUGGGCGUAAAGCGCGCGUAGGCGGUUUUUUAAGUCUGAUGUGAAAGCCCACGGCUCAACCGUGGAGGGUCAUUGGAAGCUGGAAAACUGGAGUGCAGAAGAGGAAAGUGGAAUUCCAUGUGUAGCGGUGAAAUGCGCAGAGAUAUGGAGGAACACCAGUGGCGAAGGCGACUUUCUGGUCUGUAACUGACGCUGAUGUGCGAACGCGUGGGGAUCAAACAGG
rnacentral:rRNA from 1 species